UACGAGGGGGGGCAAGCGUUGUUCGGAAUUAUUGGGCGUAAAGGGCGCGUAGGCGGUGCGGUAAGUCACCUGUGAAACCUCUAGGCUCAACCUAGAGCCUGCAGGCGAAACUGCCGUGCUUGAGGGUGGGAGAGGUGCGUGGAAUUCCCGGUGUAGCGGUGAAAUGCGUAGAUAUUGGGAAGAACACCGGUGGCGAAGGCGGCGCUCUGGACCGAGACUGACGCUGAGGCGCGAAGGCGUGGGGAGCAAACAGG
rnacentral:rRNA from 1 species